rnacentral:rRNA from 1 species
AUUGAACGCUGGCGGCAUGCUUUACACAUGCAAGUCGAACGGUAACAGGCCUUCGGGUGCUGACGAGUGGCGAACGGGUGCGUAAUGCAUCGGAACGUGCCCAGAGGUGGGGGAUAACGCAGCGAAAGCUGUGCUAAUACCGCAUGUGAUCUGAGGAUGAAAGCGGGGGACCAGGCAGCAAUGUUUGGCCUCGCGCCUUUGGAGCGGCCGAUGUCAGAUUAGGUAGUUGGUGGGGUAAAGGCCUACCAAGCCGACGAUCUGUAGCUGGUCUGAGAGGACGACCAGCCACACUGGGACUGAGACACGGCCCAGACUCCUACGAGAGGCAGCAGUGGGGAAUUUUGGACAAUGGGCGCAAGCCUGAUCCAGCAAUGCCGCGUGCGGGAAGAAGGCCUUCGGGUUGUAAACCGCUUUUGUACGGAACGAAAAGGCUCUGGCUAAUACCUGGGGCUGAUGACGGUACCGUAAGAAUAAGCACCGGCUAACUACGUG